UGUUGGUCCCCUCGCAAUGUGAAGUCGUGAACUCCGCCAGGCCCGGAAGGGAGCAACGGUAGCGAUGGAGUCAUGUGCCGGGGUGCGGCUGGCAUGG
rfam:Cycloclasticus sp. P1, complete genome.